CAAUAUAAAUACGAUCACCGAUCGCCAGAUUCGUCAGACGCGGAAGUAGAGAAGUGACUCGAACGUUUGUUGGCGAUUCUAAAGCGAGCCUAAAUCAGCAUCAACAUGCCGGCACCGGGUUGCGACAAGAGCAAAGGUUCGUGCCAAGGCUGCAGCUGUGGAGGCAGCUGUAAAUGCAACAGCGGUGGAUCAGGCAGCUGCAGUUGCCCACAAGGUGGAAAAUGCUCCUGCACCGGAUGCAAAUAAACGACCCUCCGAGACGUUUUGGAACAAGAUUUUUUCUCAACAUGGAUGCUAUCACUAGGAUAUCGAUUAAACGCAAUGGCCACAUUGUAUAGUAAAAAAACCAUAUCAAAAUAUAUUAUUUGGCUAGCUGUAUACAGAUAAUGAAGAAUUAUUAUUCUGUGAUGUUGUUUAAAAAUAAAUGAUUAAAACCAGAUAA